GCUAUCUGUAAUGAAAAGGACGGGCAGAAGGGGAGGGCUGACGGUGGUGAUUGGACAAAGCACAGGGGAGGAGGAGGCUGAGGUCAUUUUACCUGCCUGCCGCUGAUACACAUCCAUCCAUAUGUUCUGAUCAAUCAUCAGGGAUUAUUUAUUAUUAUACUCUGGUGCAGUUGCUUGCAGCUAAAAAUCACCGAGUCGAAGGACGCAAUUUAACAGUCGAGUGUGCUAGGCAGGAGUAUAUGACAUGACCAUUUGCGUUUCUUGGUUUUCAUCGCUUUGGGGCACCAGCACGGUGCGUUCGCGAAUGGUGCUGCAGGUGAUUUAUACGUAUUUUCAGGGAGCUUCAGCGAUUCCUUCCUUCAUUAGAUAAAGAUUUUGGUUUUGCUAUGGGAAAGUUGCCUGUUUUUUUUGUUAGAGAUCAGUUGACGUGCUGGCUACCCAACAACAGCAUGUGGAAGAGAAGAGAGCGGGGAUGGCACCCAUAUCUUAAUCCAACAAUUUCGGUGCGUCGGCUGAGAUUUAAGCACUUUGCUUCAAAAUCAAGCGCCUGAGACAUAGCUAUAUCUUAAAAAAUUUAGGACAUAUCUUGAGUUUGCUAAAGAAACCAGCGGUAAUAAAAGGGAAGCAAUAUUGAGAUAUCAUGAUCCUUCGAGGACGGGAUUUGAAAAGAGACCAAAUGUCUUAAAAAAUGCGCAAUAUUACAAUAAAAUCAUAAAAUAUUUGCAAAGUCUAAAAAAGUGAAAUAUGAUAAUAUGGAUGUGUGUGCU
rnacentral:lncRNA from 1 species